GACGAACCGUGCGAACGUUGUUCGGAAUCACUGGGCUUAAAGGGCGCGUAGGCGGGCUCUCAAGUCAGGGGUGAAAACUUUCGGCUCAACCGGAAAAGUGCUUCUGAUACUGGGAGUCUCGAGGGAGGUAGGGGUCGGUGGAACUGGUGGUGGAGCGGUGAAAUGCGUAGAUAUCACUAGGAACGCCGGUGGCGAAAGCGACCGACUGGACCUCUUCUGACGCUGAGGCACGAAAGCCAGGGGAGCGAACGGG
rnacentral:rRNA from 1 species